UACGUAGGGUGCGAGCGUUAAUCGGAAUUACUGGGCGUAAAGCGUGCGCAGGCGGUUCGUUGUGUCGGCGGUGAAAGCCCCGGGCUUAACCUGGGAAUGGCCGUCGAAACUGGCGAACUGGAGUGUGGCAGAGGGGGGUGGAAUUCCGCGUGUAGCAGUGAAAUGCGUAGAGAUCCGGAGGAACACCAGUGGCGAAGGCGGCUCGCUGGGCUUUUUCUGACGCUGAGGCGCGAAAGCGUGGGGAGCGAACCGG
rnacentral:rRNA from 1 species